rnacentral:rRNA from 1 species
AUUGAACGCUGGCGGCAGGCCUAACACAUGCAAGUCGAGCGGAUGAAGGGAGCUUGCUCCUGGAUUCAGCGGCGGACGGGUGAGUAAUGCUUAGGAAUCUGCCUGGUAGUGGGGGAUAACGUCCGGAAACGGGCGCUAAUACCGCAUACGUCCUGAGGGAGAAAGUGGGGGAUCUUCGGACCUCACGCUAUCAGAUGAGCCAAGGUCGGAUUAGCUAGUUGGUGGGGUAAAGGCCUACCAAGGCGACGAUCCGUAACUGGUCUGAGAGGAUGAUCAGUCACACUGGAACUGAGACACGGUCCAGACUCCUACGGGAGGCAGCAGUGGGGAAUAUUGGACAAUGGGCGAAAGCCUGAUCCAGCCAUGCCGCGUGUGUGAAGAAGGUCUUCGGAUUGUAAAGCACUUUAAGUUGGGAGGAAGGGCAGUAAGUUAAUACCUUGCUGUUUUGACGUUACCAACAGAAUAAGCACCGGCUAACUUCGUG